rnacentral:rRNA from 1 species
CGCGUGGGAACGUGCCCUUUGCUGCGGAAUAGCCACUGGAAACGGUGAGUAAUACCGCAUGAGCCCUUCGGGGGAAAGAUUUAUCGGCAAGGGAUCGGCCCGCGUUGGAUUAGGUAGUUGGUGGGGUAAUGGCCUACCAAGCCGACGAUCCAUAGCUGGUUUCAGAGGAUGAUCAGCCACACUGGGACUGAGACACGGCCCAGACUCCUACGGGAGGCAGCAGUGGGGAAUCUUAGACAAUGGGCGCAAGCCUGAUCUAGCCAUGCCGCGUGAGUGACGAAGGCCCUAGGGUCGUAAAGCUCUUUCGCCUGUGAAGAUAAUGACGGUAGCAGGUAAAGAAACCCCGGCUAACUCCGUGCCAGCAGCCGCGGUAAUACGGAGGGGGUUAGCGUUGUUCGGAAUUACUGGGCGUAAAGCGCGCGUAGGCGGACCAUCAAGUUGGGGGUGAAAUCCCGGGGCUCAACCCCGGAACUGCCUCCAAAACUGGCGGUCUGGAGUUCGAGAGAGGUGAGUGGAAUUCCGAGUGUAGAGGUGAAAUUCGUAGAUAUUCGGAGGAACACCAGUGGCGAAGGCGGCUCACUGGCUCGAUACUGACGCUGAGGUGCGAAAGUGUGGGGAGCAAACAGGAUUAGAUACCCUGGUAGUCCACACCGUAAACGAUGAAUGCCAGUCGUCGGCAAGCAUGCUUGUCGGUGACACA